rnacentral:rRNA from 1 species
UACGGAGGGUGCGAGCGUUGUCCGGAAUCACUGGGCGUAAAGCGCGCGUAGGCGGAUUUGCAAGUCGGGGGUGAAAGCCCGAGGCUCAACCUCGGAACUGCCCUCGAUACUGCAAAUCUCGAGUCCGAGAGAGGUGAGUGGAAUUCCUAGUGUAGAGGUGAAAUUCGUAGAUAUUAGGAAGAACACCAGUGGCGAAGGCGGCUCACUGGUCCGGUACUGACGCUGAGGAGCGAAAGCGUGGGGAGCGAACAGG